rnacentral:rRNA from 1 species
UACGUAGGGGGCAAGCGUUGUCCGGAAUCAUUGGGCGUAAAGCGCGCGUAGGCGGCCCGGUAAGUCCGCUGUGAAAGUCAAAGGCUCAACCUUUGAAUGUCAGCGGAUACUGCCGGGCUAGAGUCCGGAAGAGGCGAGUGGAACUCCUGGUGUAGCGGUGGAAUGCGCAGAUAUCAGGAAGAACACCGACGGCGAAGGCAGCUCGCUGGGACGGUACUGACGCUGAGGCGCGAAAGCGUGGGUAGCAAACAGG